GGCCGUGUGGCGCAAUGGAUAACGCGUCUGCCUACGGAACAUAAUACUACAGUUUCGAAUCCUGCCGUGGUCG
rfam:Angiostrongylus costaricensis strain Costa Rica genome assembly, scaffold: ACOC_scaffold0000096